rnacentral:rRNA from 1 species
GUGGGGAAUAUUGGACAAUGGGCGCAAGCCUGAUCCAGCCAUACCGCGUGGGUGAAGAAGGCCUUCGGGUUGUAAAGCCCUUUUGUUGGGAAAGAAAUCCUGUCGGUUAAUACCUGGCGGGGAUGACGGUACCCAAAGAAUAAGCACCGGCUAACUUCGUGCCAGCAGCCGCGGUAAUACGAAGGGUGCAAGCGUUACUCGGAAUUACUGGGCGUAAAGUGUGCGUAAGUGGUGGUUUAAGUCCGUUGUGAAAGCCCUGGGCUCAACCUGGGAAUUGCAGUGGAUACUGGAUCACUAGAGUGUGGUAGAGGGAUGCGGAAUUUCUGGUGUAGCAGUGAAAUGCGUAGAGAUCAGAAGGAACAUCCGUGGCGAAGGCGGCAUCCUGGGCCAACACUGACACUGAGGCACGAAAGCGUGGGGAGCAAACAGGAUUAGAAACCCCAGUAGUCC